rnacentral:rRNA from 1 species
CAAUAGCGUAUAUUUAAGUUGUUGCAGUUAAAAAGCUCGUAGUUGGAUUUCGGUUAAGAGCGACCGGUCCGCCGUUUGGUGUGCACUGGUUGGUUUUAACUUCCUGUAGAGGACGUGCUCUGGGUUUAACGACCUGGACUCGGAGUCUACGUGGUUACUUUGAAAAAAUUAGAGUGUUCAAAGCGGGCUUACGCUUGAAUAUUUCAGCAUGGAAUAACACCAUAGGACUCCUGUCCUAUUUCGUUGGUCUCGGGACGGGAGUAAUGAUUAAGAGGAACAGUUGGGGGCAUUCGUAUUUCAUUGUCAGAGGUGAAAUUCUUGGAUUUAUGAAAGACGAACUUCUGCGAAAGCAUUUGCCAAGGAUGUUUNCAUUA